rfam:Dipodomys ordii contig_52000, whole genome shotgun sequence.
GGGAAUGUGGCUUAGUGGUAGAGUGCUUGUCUAGCAUGCAUGAAGCCCUGGGUUCGAUUCCUCAGUACCA